rnacentral:rRNA from 1 species
CUACGGGGUGCAGCAGUGGGGAAUAUUGCACAAUGGGCGCAAGCCUGAUGCAGCAACGCCGCGUGAGGGAUGAAGGCCUUCGGGUUGUAAACCUCUUUUAGCAGGGAAGAAGCGAAAGUGACGGUACCUGCAGAAAAAGCACCGGCUAACUACGUGCCAGCAGCCGCGGUAAUACGUAGGGUGCAAGCGUUGUCCGGAAUUAUUGGGCGUAAAGAGCUCGUAGGCGGUUUGCCACGUCUGCUGUGAAAAUCCAAGGCUCAACCUUGGACUUGCAGUGGGUACGGGCAGGCUAGGGUGCGGUAGGGGAGAUGGGAAUUCCUGGUGUAGCGGUGGAAUGCGCAGAUAUCAGGAGGAACACCAAUGGCGAAGGCACAUCUCUGGGCCGUAACUGACGCUGAGGAGCGAAAGCGUGGGGAGCAAACAGGAUUAGAUACCCUAGUAGUC